rnacentral:other from 1 species
UAGAUGCUGUGGGGUGCGCGAGGCUGUAAAUUCCCUGGGGCUGAUUCAUCCUUAGGGGGCUAUCCCUUCAAAGACCGUGGUUUUUGUAUAUGGCUCCCACCUGUACAUACAGGCCGCAUUAGGAUACUCUAGCCAACGGCCUUUACGGCAUCUAA